AAAAGCUUAGCUACUAGUCGAAAUGAACGCAGGUCAUAGUCUAGGAGAGCAUGUGCACGUCCUUUCUCUUUCCACUCUCACACCUGUGCACCUAUUGUAGGUCCUCGCGAGAGGACCUAUGUCUACCUACACACCCAACGUAUGUCUAUAGAAUGUGAACCAAACCUAUCGAAAAGUGAACGGGAGGAGGUCCUUUCCUAAUAGAGGGGCUUGAGCCUUAUUGAACAGAAGGGUCAACCGACGUCACUUGAUAAA
rnacentral:misc_RNA from 1 species